rnacentral:snoRNA from 1 species
GCAUGGUAAUGUGUUUAUGGCAGACCCUUCUCAAUGGGCCUCUCAUAGUGUACCCAUGCCAGAGCAAGCUGGGGACUCAAGCUAUUGCCCAGCUUUCAUGCCUGUGGGCUGUGAGCACUAAAGGUUACACAGUU